rnacentral:rRNA from 1 species
UACGAGGGGUCCUAGCGUUGUUCGGAAUCAUUGGGCGUAAAGGGUGUGUAGGUGGCUAUAUAAGUCAGGUGUGAAAGCCCCGGGCUCAACCCGGGAAGUGCAUCUGAUACUGUUUAGCUUGAGUACCGAAGAGGAUAGUGGAAUUCCAGGUGUAGUGGUGAAAUACGUAGAUAUCUGGAGGAACACCGGUGGCGAAGGCGGCUCUCUGGACAGAUACUGACGCUGAGGCGCGAAAGCGUGGGAAGCAAACAGG